CCCUAGUCGGUUUGUACAUUCGUGCCUGGGACUUGCUUGGUACACGGCUCCUCCCUUUUCGUGCGGUUGGUGGUGCUGGGGCGCUGUCCCACCCCAGGCAGAUUUUCGGCACCGGCCAGCACGUCUGGCCGCCCCCGGAGCCCUGCAGGCUAUGGGGAGCGACGGACUUCGCUCCCAGCGCUGCUGGGUUCAGUGCACAAGUCUGCAAACCCGCCAUCGCCUCGCGCGGGCGCUGGACACGCUCCUGGGCGGAGCCAACUCUAUUCCCCGGGCGCCCAGGCUCCCCUCCAGGAUGCAGGUGUGGGAGGAUGUCCCAGCUUCCCAGGGCAGGGGAGUGAUAACGUGUCUGCUGGCCUGGGGAGGAGCCUGGCCUCGGGCCCAAAGGUCACAGGAGGGACGUUACCUCUGUCCUGCGUGUCAUCUGUGGUACCCUUCCAGCCUGAGGCUUCUCUCCUUCUUGAAACAUCUUCCACUGCCAGAUACCACCCGGGACAUGGAGGAAAGUGAGUGGGACCCUAAGGAGGAAGAGGAGCAAGGUCCUGGUGACAAAACCACCUCCUCGGAGGUCACAGAGAAAGACCAGAGGUGCUAG
rnacentral:lncRNA from 9 species